GACGAACGCUGGCGGCGUGCUUAACACAUGCAAGUCGAACGGAAAGGCCUCUUUCGGGGGGUACUCGAGUGGCGAACGGGUGAGUAACACGUGAGUAACCUGCCCUUGACUUUGGGAUAACUUCAGGAAACUGGGGCUAAUACCGGAUAGGAGCUCCUGCUGCAUGGUGGGGGUUGGAAAGUUUCGGCGGUUGGGGAUGGAUUCGCGGCUUAUCAGCUUGUUGGUGGGGUAGUGGCUUACCAAGGCUUUGACGGGUAGCCGGCCUGAGAGGGUGACCGGCCACAUUGGGACUGAGAUACGGCCCAGACACCUACGGGAGGGAGAAGUGGGGAAUAUUGAACAAGGGGUGGAAGCCUGAUGCAGCAACGCCGUGUGCGGGAUGACGGUCUUAGGGUUGAAAACCGUUUUCGCUCAUGACGAAGCUUUGUGUGACGGUAGUGGGUAAAGAAGCACCGGCUAACUACGUG
rnacentral:rRNA from 1 species